AGCAUCAGAUGACAAACCAUUGAUAUGUAUGAGCGCCCUCAGUGCUACAGUGCAUUCAAUUAUCAUCUCUUUCACACUGGUUGAGUAAGACCAUCGACUUUCUUGUAAUUAAAAUGUCACAUUUUCCUUUUUGUAUAUGUUCAAUUUUCAGAGCGGAAAGUGAAGGGGUGCCUGUUCAAACCCCAGGGAAAGUCCAAAUAUUUAAUGUGGGUCAGGGGGCGAGCCGAUGUCAAGUCAUUGGAGCCGAGGAAAGUGGAGAUGAUGCCGUUCUGGUCCACCUUUCUGAUUGUGGUGCCGUCGACGAAAUAAAUCAGCCCGUUCUUGUCCACGGCAAUGCCUGUUGAAAUAAGAUCCUUGGUCCCGGUGAGUGUCUUCGGCCGGUAGAUCCUCCGGGAGUUCGUGUCUGACACGUACAGCUGGCCAGUAACCGGAUCAGUUGCCAGUCUGGCGAAGGAAAAAUAAUCGAACAGGUAAAAACUCAGAAAAUCAAAGCAAUCCCCUUGAAGAAUCAACAUGAGAGAAGGCGGCAGGCAGUGACAGUCCGAUCGGCAGAAAGUGGAGAGGUGGGACCGUGGCGCCAAGUUCCAGCCCUCAGAGAGGAAAACAUGUUCUCUUGUGUUGACAGAACCCUGUCCUACAUUACUGCUGCUUUUCUCAGUCUGACCGCUCAUAUUGAAAUAUUGAUUCUGCGCCACUUGCUACACUGACCACUGAAGCCAGAAUCUAAAUACAGAUGUUAUUCUAACAGCAGCUGAAAGACGUUCAGUGAAUCCCACUCAUGCAGCUUGAUAUAUACCAAAACCUGGAACCGCUUGGGUCUUUGGAUGAUUGAAAUAUAACAUAAAAUAAUUGAACAGUUAGUGUUUCCUCAGACAAUAAAAACAUAGUGUUUUUUUUUUUAAUAAAAUGAUUUUAUAUCUGUAUUACCAUCUACUGUGAAGACAAACAAAAUAAAAUCCAGACUAAAUUUCAUAAAGCUAAAGCAAGUCCUAAAUGUAGUUGUUUUGCUCCUCUUCUUGUGAACAGAGUAAAAUAGUCAUAAGAAGUCAUAAACAUUUUUUAAACAGAUGAUUUAUCUAGUGAAGAGUUGCUGGUGAUGCAUGCUCCUUCUCUGCAGCUCCCUGCUUUCAGUCCACACACACUUUGAACCCAGUGCAGCUACAUUUGCGGGUGAAUACAUUUUUUUCACCCGUUACAGAUUUCUGCUGCACACUCUUCAUCCUAAUAUGAACUUAUAAAAACCUGAUGUACAACAACCUGCCAACAGUGUGGUGACCUACGUUGCUUUUAAGGCAGUUUUCAUAUGUUCGUCAUGUAUGUGCCUCAUGCAAGAUGAUGGCCCAAUGUACAUUUAAUCAGCAUCUGCCACUUUAAAAUAAGCCAACUGGCCGAAUCAGAGUCAUUGCUGCGAGAAGCCAAGUUGGCAUGAGGGCGUAAAUCAUCCCAAUUACACGCUGAAGACAGGAUGUCUUUCCUAAUUAUGGAGAUGGAUAGGGAAAAGAUUUCAUAUUUCUAUUGGUAAAGGGAAGAUGUGUGCGACUGAAAGUCUGCCCAAACACCCAUUUUAGUUUCCUCUCCCUUUACUCUCAUGUUGCAUUUUUGGAGUCAGUUUCAGUUAUGUAGUUGUUGUUGUUUUUCUUUUUCUUUUUUUCAUAAAAAUCUGUUCAAUACAUAUUUUUUUCUGUAUAAUUACAAAUGAACUUACACUAAAAUAAUCACCUCUUGUUCUUUAAUUUUGAGUUUUUAUGUAAAUCCCUCAUAGAAAUGAAAAGGUUAAUCCAUGAAAGGUGUGACAGCAAGGCCUCG